rnacentral:rRNA from 1 species
UCGGAAUUACUGGGCGUAAAGCGUGCGCAGGCGGUUUUGUAAGUUUGUCGUGAAAGCCCCGGGCUCAACCUGGGAAUUGCGAUGAAGACUGCAAGGCUUGAAUCUGGCAGAGGGGGGUAGAAUUCCACGUGUAGCAGUGAAAUGCGUAGAGAUGUGGAGGAACACCGAUGGCGAAGGCAGCCCCCUGGGUCAAGAUUGACGCUCAUGCACGAAAGCGUGGGGAGCAAACAGGAUUAGAUACCCUGGUAGUCCACGCCCUAAACGAUGUCUACUAGUUGUCGGGUUUUAAUUAACUUGGUAACGCAGCUAACGCGUGAAGUAGACCGCCUGGGGAGUACGGUCGCAAGAUUAAAACUCAAAGGAAUUGACGGGGACCCGCACAAGCGGUGGAUGAUGUGGAUUAAUUCGAUGCAACGCGAAAAACCUUACCUACCCUUGACAUGUACGGAACCUUUGAGAGAUCAGAGGGUGCUCGAAAGAGAGCCGUAACACAGGUGCUGCAUGGCUGUCGUCAGCUCGUGUCGUGAGAUGUUGGGUUAAGUCCCGCAACGAGCGCAACCCUUGUUACCAGUUGCUACCAUUUAGUUGAGCACUCUGGUGAGACCGCCUCGGAUAACGGGGAGGAAGGCGGGGAUGACGUCAAGUCCUCAUGGCCCUUAUGGGUAGGGCUUCACACGUCAUACAAUGGUACAUACAGAGGGCCGCCAACCCGCGAGGGGGAGCUAAUCCCAGAAAGUGUAUCGUAGUCCGGAUCGCAGUCUGCAACUCGACUGCG